GACGAACGCUGGCGGCGUGCUUAACACAUGCAAGUCGAACGGAAAGGCCCUGCUUGCAGGGUACUCGAGUGGCGAACGGGUGAGUAACACGUGGGUGAUCUGCCCUGCACUUCGGGAUAAGCCUGGGAAACUGGGUCUAAUACCGGAUAGGAGCCAUUUUUAGUGUGAUGGUUGGAAAGUUUUUUCGGUGUAGGAUGAGCUCGCGGCCUAUCAGCUUGUUGGUGGGGUAAUGGCCUACCAAGGCGGCGACGGGUAGCCGGCCUGAGAGGGUGGACGGCCACAUUGGGACUGAGAGGCGGCCCAGACUCCGACGGGAGGCAGCAGUGGGGAAUAUUGCACAAUGGGCGCAAGCCUGAUGCAGCGACGCCGCGUGGGGGAUGACGGCCUUCGGGUUGUAAACUCCUUUCGCUAGGGACGAAGCUUUUUGUGACGGUACCUAGAUAAGAAGCACCGGCUAACUACGUG
rnacentral:rRNA from 1 species